AUUGAACGCUGGCGGCAUGCUUUACACAUGCAAGUCGAACGGCAGCGCGGGCUUCGGCCUGGCGGCGAGUGGCGGACGGGUGAGUAAUGCACCGGAAAGUGCCCAGCAGUGGGGGAUAGCACGGCGAAAGGCGGAUAAAUACCGCAUUCGAUAUGAGCGUGAUCGCGGGGGGGCGAAAGGCCACGCGCUAUUUGAGCGGCCGGUGUCGGACUAGUCAGGUGGUGGGGUAAAGGCUUUCCAAGGCGACUAUCGGUACCUGGUCUGAGAGGACGACCAGCCACACGGAGGGUGAGACUGGGCCCAGACGCCUGCGGGAGGCAGCAGUGGGGAAUUUUGGGCGAGGGAGGCGACGCGGAUCCAGCCAUGCCGCGGGCGGGAAGAUGGCGCGCGGGUGGGAAGCCGCUUUUGGUCGGGGAAAAGUCCUCUGGGCUAGUACGCCGGGAGGAUGACGGUACCGGACGAAAAAGCACCGGCUAACUACGUG
rnacentral:rRNA from 1 species